rnacentral:lncRNA from 1 species
UCUGAUCAAAAUGCUCUAAGUUGAUGCCAUUGCUUCAUACCUGAGCUCUUUGAUCUAGAUUAGCAUUCGGGGACCCUCCGCAUGGACUGGUGCCGUUUGAGAUCCCGUGAUCUCUAGCAUUGUGUGAUUAUUACACAAGGAAUUCAAAGCAAUCUCAGGUUAAUAGUCAAGAUGAUGAAGGAAUCAAGUUAGGAUGGACUAGAUACCCAUUUUAAUAAUAAACCAUGUUUGUUGCAAUUUGUCUUUAUUUGAAACAGUGUAUUAUUCUUUAGUUUUAAUAAAAUGAUUUAAUUC